UAGCAUGAAGUCAAAC
rnacentral:rRNA from 3 species